AAACUUCGAAAUUUGAACACAAAAAAUGAGAAAUAUAGUGUCCUUAUUUAUCCUUAUUUUGAAAAACACGAUAGACAGUUGGCAAUGAAUUAUAAAUAUUUACAUCAUUAUAUCUCAAACAGAUAUAUGUAAGCGCCGGUUCAGAUAAAGACCAAAACGAUCAGCAUCGUCACUUUGACAAAAUACAUCAAGAACAUCAGACGUGUAUUCCCUAAUUUUGGAAGAUGGCGAAAUUUCAACGUGAUCUAGGCAUUGCGCUAAUAUUUUGGUUCGGUUUAUUUACAUUUGCAACAUGUCAUGUAGUACCAGAAGGCACGAAUUUACGAUUUGUGAGCGCGCUUUUCAGACAUGGCGAUCGUACAGUAGACACUGAAAACCAUGAAACUUAUCCAAAUGAUCCAUAUAAAGAUAUAGUCUACUAUCCAGAUGGCUCCGGUCAGUUAACUAAUGUAAGAGAUAUUUUACUUAUACGUUAUAUAACAUAUAUUACAUUUUAUUUUUAAUCUUUUUACUAUUGAUAUCGUCUCCCAGUGAGCAUUAUUGAGAGGAUGAGCUCUUUAAGAGGACUUUUUAAAGACUUAAUUAAAUUUUCUUAGAAAUGAUAUCAGUAAGUUAUCUUUUUGUAAGGUAUCUUUCAGAAGAGCUCUUUAUGAUAUUUCUUCAUAGAUAUCUCUAAAGUCUCUAGCAAGCGUGCCAAUUAAGAUAUUUUACAAACGCCGCACACAUGCGCAAGCAACGUACGUGUGAACUAGAGACCCUGUGUUCAAGUGUGAACUGCGUGCCAUUGCGUGCCAUUUCUUUAUCCAACCUAAGAAGAUGGGUUAUGUCUUCAAAAAGCACAUGUUGCAAAAUCAUAAAUUUCUUUAAAUAAAAAAAAAAU